GGGCUUGUGGUUUAGUGGUAUAAUUUUCCCUUAGCACUUCUUUAAGUUGUAUAACUCAAAGAUAACGUGGGAAAGGUCCUGGGUUCGAUUCCCAGCAAGUCCA